rnacentral:lncRNA from 1 species
GACUUGGGUAACAAAAUGAUCUGGCAAAACCAGCAACUAAGAAAGAAAAAGAAUGGAUUUUCCAGUCUCUUUGACCCCUGAGAUCUCAAAGCCCCUGUGAAGAUCGAUCAGUUGGCAUGGCUGGAUUCAGACUUCCCAGGCCAAGAGGACUUGAAGAAAUGAUCAGAUGAAUCUCAGAAACUCAGAGUUUGAAUAAUAGUUGUCGGUUAUUGCACACUUGCUGUGUGCCAGGCAUGGUGCUCACUGCUGCCCAUGGAUCAUUUCACCUAAUUUCAUCUACCAGCCUGAUAUCUGCACAUGUGAGAACCUGAGACGUAGGGAGUUUGCACGGCUUUAGCUUUCGCAGAAGGAGUAACACAGGGUCAUACCAACUUACUCCAGUUACCAAUUCUGUGACCUCAGACUGGAGCCAAGGACUCUGCAGGCCUUGAAGAUGCAAGCUGGUAUGAUGUGAACUGCCACAUGGCAGGGAACUGCAGGUACCCUCGAGGACGUGAGGACCUCAUUCUUACAUCUGCAAGAAACCAAAUUCU